GGGAGCUCCUGGACGCCGGAGUGCGGGCUGAGAAGGGCGCAAAGGGCCGAACGCAGGCUGGGAGCGGCACUGGCAUAGGAGUGACUUGCGGUCCUCGCCUGUUACCCUUCCCGAAGGAGGAGGCAGAGUUUGGGGAAUGCUAGUGGAACGAAGUCUAGGCACACUCAUUUCAAGCGAGCCACUCCGUGCCUACCAACCACACCAUGAAGCAGAUAUCAGUAGUCUUCUCACAUUAUAGAUGAAGAAACUGAGUCACAAAAACCCAAGCCACAGAGCUACUUAAGUGGAAGGGCGAAGAUGUGAACCCAAGCAUUGUGACGCCAUCGCCUGUCAGCAGGUGCUCCCAGGACCUCCCCUAGCUUGUGUAACUAGACAAGCUACUUAACGUCUCUCUCCCAGCCUUGGGUUCUUCAUCUUUACAGUGGGCCUGGGCAUACUUGCCUCAGCUGCCCUUGGCCAGAGCACUGUGGCUUCUCAUCUCGACGCUCUGUCAUGUAAUGGCAGCUCCAAAUCAAAUCAAUGGAAAAUGAUGUCCGGAAGCCCAGUAUAUACUUCAAGUGUGUGCUUGACCCUGUUUUGUACCCCUAUGUCAUUUUACCCCCAGUGGGAGAGGGAGACAACAUAAAGCUAGAUAACAACAGCCGACAACCAGCCAGCUCCUAGACUUCAAGGUCACUGAAGGCAAUUUUGGGGCCACCAGCCUCAGAUCCAUCCCAUGUGGUCCUUGUUUGUCCCAUUUCGGUGAGGUUGGCACUGACUCACUGCUUGCCACCCUCUGGGUUAUCAGCCUGUGGUGCAAUCAGAAGAGAUUCUCAUCUUUGUAGGGUGAUGUAAGUGUGGUUGGGUCUACCCUAGUGGGGUGACCAGCCUGACCAGGGGGAGGGGUCAAAUUCAUCAACUUUAUGGAUGGAGUGCCUUGAUGGUUUCUUUUUUUUUUCCAAUCUGAGCUAGCCUAUGCCACGGUCUGCUCAAAGAUGAUCACAUAGUAUUUUUAGGCAAAAUGUGUUGUGUGUGUGGCUAAAAUUUGGCAAUUUUACCUUAUUUAAUGGGUAACAAUGCCCCCCAAUUUCAUGUUUGCCCAGAGAGUGGCAAGAGAUUCAUUAGUAUAGCGGAAGGAGCUGCCUUGUAGUCCAGGAACUGGCCAGUACCUGUGUUGGUCCAGUUUCACCUCUGACUCAUCAGAAGCCUGGUCCCAACAAUCUAUAUUAAAACAAUA